UUAAGUCAGGCAACGAGCGAGACCCGUGCCCACUGUUACCAGCAUGUCCUCCGGGACGAUGGGUACACUGUGGGGACCGCUGAUGUCAAAUCAGAGGAAGGUGCGGGCUACGGUAGGUCAGUAUGCCCCGAAUCUCCCGGGCUACACGCGGGCUGCAAUGGUCGGGACAAUGGGUCCCUUCCCCGAAAGGGGUUGGCAAUCUCACAAACCCGUCCUUAGUUCGGAUCGAGGGCUGUAACUCGCCCUCGUGAAGCUGGAAUCCGUAGUAAUCGCGUUUCAAUAUAGCGCGGUGAAUACGUCCCUGCUCCUUGCACA
rnacentral:rRNA from 1 species